AUUGAACGCUGGCGGCAGGCCUAACACAUGCAAGUCGAGCGGAUGAAGGGAGCUUGCUCCUGGAUUCAGCGGCGGACGGGUGAGUAAUGCCUAGGAAUCUGCCUGGUAGUGGGGGAUAACGUCCGGAAACGGGCGCUAAUACCGCAUACGUCCUGAGGGAGAAAGUGGGGGAUCUUCGGACCUCACGCUAUCAGAUGAGCCUAGGUCGGAUUAGCUAGUUGGUGGGGUAAAGGCCUACCAAGGCGACGAUCCGUAACUGGUCUGAGAGGAUGAUCAGUCACACUGGAACUGAGACACGGUCCAGACUCCUACGGGAGGCAGCAGUGGGGAAUAUUGGACAAUGGGCGAAAGCCUGAUCCAGCCAUGCCGCGUGUGUGAAGAAGGCCUUCGGAUUGUAAAGCACUUUAAGUUGGGAGGAAGGGCAGUAAGUUAAUACCUUGCUGUUUUGACGUUACCAACAGAAUAAGCACCGGCUAACUUCGU
rnacentral:rRNA from 1 species